GAUGAACGCUGGCGGCGUGCCUAAUACAUGCAAGUCGAACGAAACUUCUUUAUCACCGAGUGCUUGCACUCACCGAUAAAGAGUUGAGUGGCGAACGGGUGAGUAACACGUGGGCAACCUGCCCAAAAGAGGGGGAUAACACUUGGAAGCAGGUGCUAAUACCGCAUAACCAUAGUUACCGCAUGGUAACUAUGUAAAAGGUGGCUAUACUACCGCUUUUGGAUGGGCCCGCGGCGCAUUAGCUAGUUGGUAGGGUAAAGGCUUACCAAGGCAAUGAUGCGUAGCCGAAUUGAGAGGUUGAUCGGCCACAUUGGGACUGAGACACGGCCCAAACCCCUACGGGAGGCAGCAGUAGGGAAUCUUCCACAAUGGGCGAAAGCCUGAUGGAGCAACGCCGCGUGGGUGAAGAAGGUCUUCGGAUCGUAAAACCCUGUUGUUAGAGAAGAAAGUGCGUGAGAGUAACUGUUCACGUUUCGACGGUAUCUAACCAGAAAGCCACGGCUAACUACGUG
rnacentral:rRNA from 1 species